UAGUAUAGGUGUUGCAAUUUUAUUGUUGCGAAUUAGUCAACCCUCGCAUUAUUAUGCUUGAUGCUCGCAAAACACUCUAGUAAUUUUGAUCUGCUCAUAGAUCCAUAAUGGGCACUGUGACACUGAAGGUUGAAAUCUGUAACCCUUUGGGUUCAAAACGAUCUAUCCAUAAGCUUGGUUUUUUCUACUUCACACUUGAAAACAUGUAUCUCCUGAGUACCGGUCACGUCUAAGUUGUGUAAAUCUGGUUGCAAUACACCAUGCCUGUUAUCCUAGAAUCUUUCAUUGCAGAUGUUGUAAAAUUGGAAUUAAGAGGGGUACACCUUUCCCAUCUCCCACUGCAGCAGAAAUGUUAUGGCACAAUCAGCAUGUAUCCACAGAUAACCUAUGCAAAUCUAUUAGGUGGUCUUAAAUAAGGGAGCAUAGCUUUUCGUGGUUGCCGCCAAUGUAUAGAUAAUACACAUAUACAUGCACGUAUAUACAUAAUGAUGUAAAUAAUUAUAAGGGUUCGAUUUUGCAGUUUUGUGAGGAUGACUUUGUUUUGAGAUCUGAAGAGCAGUAGUUUCAACAGUGUGAAGAGCUAGAAACUAGCCAGUAUGAUCACUACUCCAAGGUAUUAAUAUCAUACGAUCUGUGUUCACGCAGCUCAAGUACUACAAUUUCUGCAAUGGCUCGCUUUUGACUGAUAUCACUAUGACGUACUUGAAGGUGUAUUGCAGGUUGAAGUGAAGUUGGUGCUCCAGCACUGCAGCAUACGUCUGAAAAGAUACUUCCGAUUGUCAUUUCUUCAGCAACUUCGAGCUGAAAUAUAUGGAGUCAACUAAACGUCCCAUCCCUACCAAAAAGAGCAUGCACCCUACACUGUAGUGAUCACUCUUUGAAUCAGAAUGGUAUUUUCAACCAAGUCUGUGUCAGAGCUGGGAGAAUAGCUGAGAGACUGGAAAAAAAUUUCCCAGGAAACGAUUGACCUCUUUCAAGAGCAAGAAAGGUGUUCUUGGAGCUGCCUGCAUGAGGACCAUGCUAGUGCCGAAGGUUGGGCCACAUGCAUACAAAACUGUUAAGAAAAAGGCACAUCUUCCGGAAUGAAUUAACUGCCCAGCCUCUUCUGUGGAUAAAUGGGCAUUACUCCAGCGAAGUUCAACUGACGAAGCUCUUUGUCGAGAGGGGUCUACUGGCAACGUUUCCACCAAAGAUGGCACCUCUUGUGCUCCUGAGUACAUUCUAAUCUGUCUUUUCACAGAAGGCUGUGUCAAUUUCUACACAGCUUUGGAGGUAUUCUUUCUUGACAGAAAAUCUAAGAGAACAAAACUGAACAGGCUUUGUAGCUGAGUUAAACAUUUAGCUAUAGGCUAGCUCUGCAUCACCAUGUUACCUUUAAUUUAUAACUUUUAAAGUACAUGUAUACUAUCUUCUCUAAUAAUCAUCAUGCAGUGUACCAUGCAGUACGUACUAACUAUGGUUAAGUUGUGAAAAAAAAUUAAA